UACGUAGGGUGCAAGCGUUAUCCGGAAUCACUGGGCGUAAAGCGUGCGUAGGUGGCGUGUUAAGUGUGAUGUUAAAUCGUGUGGCUCAACCAUAUCGAUGUGUCGCAUACUGGCAUGCUAGAGGACAGCAGAGGCAAGUGGAAUUUGUAGUGUAGCAGUGAAAUGCGUAGAUAUUACAAGGAACACCAAUGGCGAAGGCAGCUUGCUGGGCUACUCCUGACACUGAGGUACGAAAGCGUGGGGAGCGAUCCGG
rnacentral:rRNA from 1 species